rnacentral:rRNA from 1 species
GAUGAACGCUGGCGGCGUGCCUAAUACAUGCAAGUCGAGCGAACAGACGAGGAGCUUGCUCCUCUGACGUUAGCGGCGGACGGGUGAGUAACACGUGGAUAACCUACCUAUAAGACUGGGAUAACUUCGGGAAACCGGAGCUAAUACCGGAUAAUAUAUUGAACCGCAUGGUUCAAUAGUGAAAGACGGUUUUGCUGUCACUUAUAGAUGGAUCCGCGCCGCAUUAGCUAGUUGGUAAGGUAACGGCUUACCAAGGCAACGAUGCGUAGCCGACCUGAGAGGGUGAUCGGCCACACUGGAACUGAGACACGGUCCAGACUCCUACGGGAGGCAGCAGGAGGGAAUCUGCCGCAAUGGGCGAAAGCUUGACGGAGCAACGCCGCGUGAGUGAUGAAGGUCUUCGGAUCGUAAAACUCUGUUAUUAGGGAAGAACAAAUGUGUAAGUAACUAUGCACGUCUUGACGGUACCUAAUCAGAAAGCCACGGCUAACUACGU